GUGUUUGCUUCAGCAGCACAUAUACUAAAAUUGAAACGAUACAGAGAAGAUUAGCAUGACCUCUGCACAAGGAUGAUAUGCAAAUUCAUGAAGCGUUUCUUAUUAAA
ensembl:snRNA U6 U6 spliceosomal RNA